UCUAAAAGUUCUUUGUAGAGGAUAGAAAAUCUUCCGUAAAAAAGAUUUCUCAUGGUAAUAUAGUCGACUAGGUAUUUGAGAAGAGCCCACAAGAUCGCUCCUGGCGGAAGGGUAACGCCGAUGCCCUUUGCCUGUUAAAAAUUGGAAUUUGUAGCAGAGCAGAGAGCAGAGAGCAGAGAGCAUGGAGUCGAAGAAGCGAAGGAUGGAAGACAACGAGAAUGGCCUGAAAGAAGAGACCGAGAUAAAUGUAGACACAGCGCGGAAAAUGAUGGAGGGCUUUACGCGGGAGCAGCUUCUCGACAUUCUAGCGGAGGCGUCUGCAAAGCAUAGCGACGUUGCAGAGCAAGUGCGGGACAUCGCAGAUGCCGACCCAGCACUUCGAAAGCUUUUCGUCAGAAACCUGGGCUUCGACACCACCACUGAAUCCUUUAAGGCAUUCUUUUCCCAGUUUGGGGAAGUGCAGGAAGGCGUGGUGAUAAUAGACAAGAAGACGGGCAAAAGCAAGGGCUACGGGUUUCUGACCUUCAAGCACCUGGACGGCGCCCUCAAUGCCCUCAAGAACCCUAGCAAGAUCAUCGAAGGCCGCAUGACUAUAACCCGCUUGGCCUCCUCUCAGCCAAGUGCCAUUGAUGUUUCGGACCGCAAAAUCUUCGUUGGAAAUGUCCCUACUGACAUGCCCUCUGAACGUCUCUUAAGUAUAUUUUCUGAGUACGGGGAAAUCGAAGAAGGGCCUCUGGGGUUUGACAAGCAGCCCGGCAAGUCGAGGAGCUUUGCAUUAUUCAUUUUCAAGUCUCCGGAGGGUGCAAAGCUUGCUUUAGAGGAGCCUGUAAAGAUUGUCGAUGGAAAUAGGAUGAUCUGCAAAUUGGCCGUCGAAGGGCAGCAGCAGCAACAGCAAAGGCCCUAUGUAAACCAGUCACAGCAGCAGUCGCAGCCGCAGCCGCAGCUGCAGCCUCAAUCUCAUCACCAGCUUGGCUCUUCUGUGCAGUUGGGUGGUGGUUUUGGCAAUACGGGCUUCCCUUCGUAUCAGGGUUUGAACCAUAAUGGAAUUUCAGGUGCUCCAAACCCAGGCAACAUUCCUGGCGGUUCCAUGAUGCCUUCAGCCAAUUCGUCUUUCAUGAAUCAGGGUUUGCCUUCAAACCCUAAUACAUCAAAUCCGGUACCCUCGUCUUUGGGAAUGGGCGGUGGAUAUGGAGGGGGUUAUGGCGCUCCUCAGGUGGGAGGUUAUAAUGGGAGUCAGGGAGCAGGAGCUUACGGUCAGAUGGGAACCUAUGGGGGCCCUCCUGUUUAUGGGGCCCCCGCACCUCCUAGUUCGGGUGGAUUUUCAGAAGCAGGACGGAAUGCUCAACCGUCCUAUCAAAAUCAACAUCAACAUCGACAAUCAGCGCCACCUGCAAACAGGGUAACUGGUGGAGGAAUUUAUCCUAACGCUGCUCAACCAUUUUACCCAGUAUAGGAUGGGCCUCUCUUCGAAGUGAUGUGAAUUUUCAUGAUCAAUAUGAUUCAGGUGUUUGAAGGGUACAUGAUUGACAUUGACUUUGCUACUCCUUUCAAGGAUACUAAUCAUUGUUCUCCGUGGACUUGUUUCACUUUAUGAAACUCUUCAAGUGGGGAGUGUGCAUGUUUAAUGCUACUAUAGGGACUUUGAACCCAGCUUUACUCUUCUAAAAUGAAGAUCUACUAUAAUAGUCAAGGUGCUUAUUGGUUAUAGAGUUCACUCUUGAUUAUUCUGUGCCAUGUUGGACGAGAGAGACAAAGGGCAUUGUGCUGAAGGGCAAAUAACCAAAGGCUGGCCUACAGGGGAGGUUAAAGAAGAGCAUAUAUGUCUUGUAAUUCGAAAGAGAGUAUGGUGGGAAGCUGAAAGCUUAAAUGGGUAGCCAUAUUCUAUAGAAGGAUACAACGAAUGGAAAACAAUUUCUUGCCAAGAAGUUUGCUUCUUCUGUGUGCAUUAUAACGAUUUUUCUAUGUAGUUCUUAUUAUACUUAUGGAUUUAUUGUACAUGGUAGGACUAAUUAGGGGUUAAUGUCAAAUUCUUAGGGUUUGGAAUCUAGGUGUUAGGGUUCAAUCUUAAUACAUGGCUGCAUUUGCUUUCUGUUUAUAUCCCUUUCACAUGGUGUUAAGCAAAGAGGCGAAUCGUUUUAAUAUAUUAUAUUUUUGUAACGUA